CUCCUUGCUGCUCCUUGAUGUCCCUUCCUGCUCAUUUCUGUUCCUUCUCCUUUUCUUACCUUACCUUCCUGCUCCUUGCUGACUCUUCAUGUAGGCUGUCUCCCCCAUCCCUCACUUCUAUAGGCGUGCGCACGGGGUGUGUCGGGUGUGCCUGGGCACACCCUAAUCCCCGCGGCACGCCAAUGGAUUGAGACCGGCAGGGGAGAUCUCUGGAUCUCCCCGGUCGGCUCAUGCAGAGCCGACGCUAUCCGAGCGGCGGCUCUGGUCUAAGCCUCCAUGGGCCGGUGGGGAGAUCAAAGUUCUACCUCACCGGUCCACAGCAGCAUGGAGGGAGGCAGCAGACAACCCGGGCUAGAGUUCACUCUCCACUGAACCACCAGGGAAGGCAGCAGGACUGGGAUAUUAACUAGUCUGCCCCCACCUCCACCCAAACAUACGGCACACACACA